rnacentral:rRNA from 1 species
GAUGAACGCUAGCAACAGGCCUAACACAUGCAAGUCGAGGGGUAACAGGGAGCUUGCUCCGCCGACGACCGGCGCACGGGUGAGUAACGCGUAUCCAACCUGCCUAUAACUAGGGAAUAACCUUGCGAAAGUAAGACUAAUACCCUAUGAUUUCCUUUGAUGACAUCAGAUUAGGAAUAAAGAUUUAUCGGUUAUAGAUGGGGAUGCGUCUGAUUAGCUUGUUGGCGGGGUAACGGCCCACCAAGGCAACGAUCAGUAGGGGUUCUGAGAGGAAGGUCCCCCACAUUGGAACUGAGACACGGUCCAAACUCCUACGGGAGGCAGCAGUGAGGAAUAUUGGUCAAUGGGCGGAAGCCUGAACCAGCCAAGUCGCGUGAAGGAAGAAGGAUCUAUGGUUCGUAAACUUCUUUUGCAGGGGAAUAAAGUGGAGGACGUGUCCUCUUUUGUAUGUACCCUGAGAAUAAGGAUCGGCUAACUCCGUGCCAGCAGCCGCGGUAAAAC